rnacentral:rRNA from 1 species
CCUACGGGGGGCAGCAGUGAGGAAUAUUGGUCAAUGGCCGAGAGGCUGAACCAGCCAAGUCGCGUGAGGGAAGACGGCCCUACGGGUUGUAAACCUCUUUUGUCGGGGAGCAAAGCGAGGCACGUGUGCUUCUUUGAGUGUACCCGAUGACAAAGCAUCGGCUAACUCCGUGCCAGCAGCCGCGGUAAUACGGAGGAUGCGAGCGUUAUCCGGAUUUAUUGGGUUUAAAGGGUGCGCAGGCGGAUGUGAACGUCAGCGGUCAAAUUUCGGGGCUCAACCCCGUACUGCCGUUGAAACUGCAUCCCUUGAGUGCGCGAGAAGUAUGCGGAAUGCGUGGUGUAGCGGUGAAAUGCAUAGAUAUCACGCAGAACUCCGAUUGCGAAGGCAGCAUACCGGCGCGCAACUGACGCUGAUGCACGAAAGCGUGGGUAUCGAACAGGAUUAGAUACCCGAGUAGUC